rnacentral:rRNA from 1 species
CGUAACAAGGUCUCCGNUGGUGAACCAGCGGAGGGAUCAUUACUGAGUUUACGCUCUACAACCCUUUGUGAACAUACCUAUAACUGUUGCUUCGGCGGGUAGGGUCUCCGCGACCCUCCCGGCCUCCCGCCUCCGGGCGGGUCGGCGCCCGCCGGAGGAUAACCAAACUCUGAUUUAACGACGUUUCUUCUGAGUGGUACAAGCAAAUAAUCAAAACUUUUAACAACGGAUCUCUUGGUUCUGGCAUCGAUGAAGAACGCAGCGAAAUGCGAUAAGUAAUGUGAAUUGCAGAAUUCAGUGAAUCAUCGAAUCUUUGAACGCACAUUGCGCCCGCCAGCAUUCUGGCGGGCAUGCCUGUUCGAGCGUCAUUUCAACCCUCAAGCUCUGCUUGGUGUUGGGGCCCUACAGCUGAUGUAGGCCCUCAAAGGUAGUGGCGGACCCUCUCGGAGCCUCCUUUGCGUAGUAACUUUACGUCUCGCACUGGGAUCCGGAGGGACUCUUGCCGUAAAACCCCCAAUUUUCCAAAGGUUGACCUCGGAUCAGGUAGGAAUACCCGCUGAACUUAAGCAUAU